GGCCUUAGGAGAGGGUUGGCCUGAGUUUUUAAAUGAACCACAGUGCUGGCCCGUGGCCCUGUGACUUCAACAGGGGGAUGUUCUUUUCCCAAUGGAGUAUGAUGUGUGUAUCUGCUUCUUCCCCUUCUCUUCCAUAAGGAGACAGCUUCGGCUAGAAUAAGGCCUCCGUGGCAGGACUGUCUUCCCUACUCCAAGAACGGGAUACAACUAGCCUCUAGACUUCUCCAGGGAUGUUGGAUGAGCACUUCAAUGCCCGAUUCCAUCUCUGCCCUGUCUACCUGGAAACCCUACUUGGCUGUGUCAAGUGGGUCAAUUAGGAUAUGGUUGGAAGAGUAAUUGUUGUCUGUCGUGUUAGGACAGUGUGAGCAAGCUAGAAGUGAACAUGUAUUAAUUUGGUCAAACUGUUAAGAUGCUCUUGGAAGAUAAUUUUGGAAGAUAAAAACACCCUGCUGGCCUGGGAUGCAGCAUCCACCAUCCCAGCAGCCACAUGAUUCUUUUGUGCCUACUGUCCACCUUUGAGGCCAGAUCUAGAACAGAAACUGAUCACCAUGGGCUGGGGCAGCUGGCCUGUAGAACCUGCAUGUUGAGGGUUUCAAUAGUCUCCUUCUGGAAAUUUCCAGGUAGAGAAAAGCUCCCUGAAAUAAAGAGGAGUCACCCAGCUAGGGUUAGAUGCAGGAGCUGCUCUGUGGAGCUCUUGUUACUAAAAGCAGCAUUGAGCCCACUAAGUGCUGGCCUAGGGUUUUAGACAAAUUUCUGGGUCUUGGGGUUGCAUUGACAGACCAACCGACACCAGACUCCCACAACACUGAGGGAGAGUUCGUCAUGGGUCCCAGAUGCUGAAAGGCAAAGUGUGACUGAGACAGCAGAGGUGUAGUUCUGAAAGGGCCAUUGGCGGCAGCCGGGGUUCACAAUGAGCAUCUGCUCCAGACCACUGUGAGAAACAGCAGAUGUUAAAGUGACUAACAUUCUCAUCCACCUAUAGGAGAUGAAAGCCACGCUAUCACCCGCCAGCUGCUCCAUCCACACUGGGCACUGGAAUCAUAACCAGGUGAACCCCACAUGCCCCGCUAUUUAAAAAACAAAACAAGACAGGCCAGACACACAGAACAGUUUGCUCUUGGAACCAGUGUGUAUUUGUAACAGGGUUAUGGGUACUGAGAAUGGCCCCUUCCUUAUACUACAUUUUAAUGAAACCAACGGCUGUGGAAGGUGGGAUUUGGGUGGUAUAGUCCCAGUGAAGAUCCACGAGAUGCAGAGGUUAGGCGAGACAGAGUCUUUAGUACCAGAUGAUGGUCACUAAGAGAGAAUAAGUCUUGAGGGUGCGUAGAAGAACUUUCAGGGGAACUAAGUGGCUUUGAUGCAACUCGACUGCGCCAACGCCGUCCGGAAGACCCAAUGUUUGCCUUUCGCCUCCUACCUGAGAGAAGACAGGCAGGGAGGUUCAGCUGGAAAGGCCAGCAGUGGAAUCCAGUGGCGAGCCUGGCAUUCUGUGCUGUGUGCUGCUCAUUCACCAGAGCCUUGUCUACAGCACCACUGACUCUGAACGGGGGCAGCAGCACACAGGUUCUCUCCAGUCUCAGAAACACAAGGGCCUGCCCCGAAGGUCAGGAGCAGCAUCCACACUUAGGGAGAGAGCACCUGUCAGGCAAGUUAUCACUGCUUCCGGUUUCGUGGAACUAUUCCAAUGUAGCCAGGUCCCUCUGGAGUCCAGAAGAGAGAUCCUCUUGUUUAUUGAAUCUGGCAUUCUCUGAUAUUUUUGGUCUGGCAAACCUCACCGCUAGAUAAAUGUAUAUACUCUCCCUGAACAAAGUUUCAGCUUCUUUUAGAGAAAGAAAAAAUAUGUUCUCUAUAAACAGACUGUAUAAAGGACAACAAAAGGACUUGGGAGACUGGUUAAGCAAGACCUAUGCCUCUGAUACUAUUCACUUUUUUCUAGUAAUUCCAGCAGCAUCUAGAACUAGAAUGAAGUAGUUAGAAGUUCCUCGUGAGCUUCCCAGGUCUCUGCUCUGAGCUUGCCAGGGGUCCAGAGGCCAGUCCCAUGUCACAGUGUUGAAACUUCACAAGCUACUAAUAUACCUUCUAAUCUCCCAUUUUAUAGCCAAGAAAUUGGGCCCAAAGAGAUUUGUCCAGAAGCAUUCAAUCAGCACCCCACACACAGACCUACAGCCCAGGUAUCCUGAGUUUCAGCCCUACAUCUACCAGACCCAUUCCGAAUCCUGGUUUCUUAACCCAGAAAGGAUGACUACAAAUGCAAACCCAGCACACAGUGCUAAAGAUGCCCAGUGGACCCGAGCUCUGUCUGCCUGCAGUUCCUCCAGGCUCAGCUCAGAGGUGUUAUCUUACCAGAUGCACGCUUUGGAGAUGGAAGACGAGGCAACUUAAAGUAGAGUGGUGGCUUCUUAUACAGGUCAAAAUCCAGGUGGCGCUGGCUCCAGCUCCACCUAUCCCGAUCCAACACAGGCUUCAGCACAUUAGUAAACAGUGCGUUUUCCUGCCACUCCUAAAGAAGAGCAGCAAGUGAGUAAGACGGAAGGACAUCCCGAAGCACCCCCGACUUGAGGCCCUGCUCCUCCCUGAAGACCUCAUUUAGCUCUCUGAUGGGUGGCAGUUUAAGAUCCUGCUGGCUGCUUCCAGUGCUGCUCUGAAGACCCCAUACUUGGAACCCACCGGCUGUGAGCCAGGCCUGGCGGGACUUCUUCUGGGCUUUCUUCUCCUCUUCCUUUGGGUCCUGAAAAUCCACCAUAGCUGAGAGUUGCUCAUUUGCUCAGCCCUGGGGAUCAGGAGGUGAAGCUCUCAGCUUCUGCUCCAGCACCAUGCCUGUCUGCUUCUCACCAGGAUGGUUAUCGACUAACCCUCAGCCCCCAAUUAAAUGCUUUCUUAUCAGAGUUGCCUUGGUCAUGGUGUCUCUUCACAGCAACAGAAGAGUAAGUCAGUGUGUUAGCCAGCUGCCGGGUCGCUCACCUUGGCCAUCUCUUUAAGCAUCUGCUUCUUAGCAAGCUCUGUGGAAUUCAUGGUCUGGGCGCUGUAGUUGUGGACAGUUUUGUUCUCAGGAAUGG